CCGAGGACAGCCCACAAUCAAGGGGAGGGUAGAUAUGUUCUACCUCUUGACAUGUAGUAUGAACAUAAAGUGGAUUUUUACUUGCUAAAGUAGAAAGAAGAUCCCAACAUUUGAUGAGAAAAUAUACAGAAGGGAGGCUGAUCCCGGGUGCACUGUGGCAGGUGGCAGUAUAGAUUUUUGUGAAGCAGCAGUGUGCUGUGAUAUGAGUAGCAGAUGAAGAAGGAAGGAAAUGAAGUCACUCAAUUCUUAUAUGGCAUAAUUACUCUUAUAUUUGGAAUCAACAUGUGGAAUUUCUAGAUAGAUGGAGUCUCAAUAUGUUUCCCAGGCUGGUCUGGAACUCCUGGCUUCAAACAAUCUUCCUGCCUCAACCUCCCAAAAUGCUGGAAUAACAGGAGUUGAGCCAUCAUUCCUAGACUCAGAUGUUUCAAAUCUACUAAUUUAUGGAUGUUACUGAUACCACCUUAGCCCAGAUAUUUCCAAUUGCAGGUGUUUUUAUUUGCCUGAAGUCAUUUACUAGCACUGCAGUUAAAGUAAACUUUUUAAAACACAAAAUACAUUGUGCCACAUGCCAACUGAAAAUAUACAUGCAUACCUCAGUUUUUGGGCCUCACUUUAUUGCACUUUACAGAUGUUGUAUUUUUUUUUUGCAAAUUGAAAGUUUUUGGCAAUCCUGCAUUGAAUAAAUCUAUCAGAGCCAUUUUUCCAACAA
rnacentral:lncRNA from 1 species